GCCAGUGAGAGAGCAGCAAAACCUUUUGGCUGCAAUAUCUGUGGGCCUCCUCCUCCUUUGACCUGCAGGACCACAGAGUGAGACACAGAGAUGAAACGGUCUCAUCAGGUUCAUGUCACAGCAGAGUUCAGGGAAGGUCUCUUUCAUGACCCUCAAUCUGAGUCCUGAGAGAAGAGUGUGGAUAGAUGAGAAGCCCAGGUGAGGAGCGUGGACAGUGGGGUCAGCACGUGCACUGGCCCUGUGGUGGGGGACACGUCGGUGAGCUUGAGGAGCCAUGUGGCUGCAGCCCAGCCAGCACAGGCUUCACAAGCUAUUCUGUAGCUGGUCUGACCACAUCUCAGAAAGUCCACACUCUGGGACAAGGCUCGUGGAACCUCCAGUCUUUACGGAUCCCCCUCUUUUCAAGGAUGCUUCACCAUGAACAUGUCUGAAGAACCAAGGAAGUAAAACUGCAAAUGAGGUUA